AACUGAUACUACCUGCGGGAACCUGCGGAGGGAUCAUUAAAGAGUUAGGGUCGUCCAGGCCCGACCUCCCAACCCUAUGUUUUCUUAAACCACUGUUGCUUCGGCGGGUCCGUCUUAGACCGCCGGGGGACUGUUAUAGGUCCUCUGGCCCGCACCCGCCGGUGGCCAACCUUCACAAACUCUUGAUUAAACGUGUCCUUGUCUGAGUAAAUGAAAAUAUAUCAAAGCAAAAAACUUUCA
rnacentral:misc_RNA from 1 species